CCGGCACGGGUGAGUAACGCGUAUGCAACUUACCUAUCAGAGGGGGACGAACCGGCGAAAGUCGGACUAAUACCGCAUGAAGCAGGGGCCCCGCAUGGGGAUAUUUGCUAAAGAUUCAUCGCUGAUAGAUAGGCAUGCGUUCCAUUAGGCAGUUGGCGGGGUAACGGCCCACCAAGCCGACGAUGGAUAGGGGUUCUGAGAGGAAGGUCCCCCACAUUGGUACUGAGACACGGACCAA
rnacentral:rRNA from 1 species